CAUAGGCUCACGAUCGAUAGUGCUCGGGAUGAAUUAAGAAGAAUGAAAAGAUUGAAUUUUAAAGAAGUAGGCUUGGUAAAAUUUGUGAUAGAAUAUUUGGGUGGCUAGCUUGGGCAACAAUGAAAAACCAGCUAAGUAAUGUGUGUGAGUUGAGUGUUGAAGUCAGAGAGUUUGUUUCACUUCAACAACCAAGAGGGUUGAAAAAAAAAAAAAGAGGAUGACAAUCUACACCUGAAGGAGAGGAAGAAAAUUAGAGAAGAAUGUUUUGUUGCACAAAGAUAAUCAAUGGAGGAGCCUUUUCCAGAUGACAGUAGUUGAGCAUGGCCUGAGACAAAGGAGG
rnacentral:lncRNA from 1 species